rnacentral:rRNA from 1 species
AUGGCAAAAUUCUGGUGGAGUGGUUCCCUUGACAGACGAUCUUUGCACUGGAUAUCAUAGGACAGUCUCGCAUCCCCAAAGGUUAACGGUGGUAUGGGCUUCCGAGAUCUACCAUUGUUUAACUUGGCACUGCUAGGGAAGCAUGGGUGGAGGUUCAUUACAAAUCCGGGAUCCCUGUGCAACCGUGUUAUGAAGGGUCGCUAUUUUCCUGAUGGAGAGUUCAUGGAUGCAGUGGUACCACGCUCAUCGUCGGCCGUAUGGCGGGCCAUUAUUGCUGGUCGUGAAGCUCUCGAGGAAGGACUUGUGAAGCGUGUGGGGACGGGCUCUACCAUCUCCAUAUGGGCAGACAAAUGGAUCCCG